GUCUAUGGCCAUACCACCCUAAACGUACCAAUCUUGCCUCCUCUCAGAAGCUAAGUAGGGUCGGCCUGGUUAGUCCUUGAGUGGAAGUGCAUUAUCUGUGAUGUCUGUGUUUGCAGCACAGACC
rnacentral:rRNA from 1 species